rnacentral:tRNA from 1 species
GAGGGUAUAGCUCAGUUCGUAGAGCAUGUGCUCAGCAUGCACGAGGUCCUGGGUUCAAUCCCCAGAAUCUCCA